rnacentral:rRNA from 1 species
AUGCGCCUCCGCGCUCUUGUUGGAAACCAAGUAAUGAUGUUACUGGUGGACUCCGGCAGCACACACACAUUCGUCAAUGCUGCAUUCGCUGCCCGGGCAGGCUGUGUUGUGCAAGUGGCAGAGCCGGUCACCGUGCGUGUGGCCAAUGGCGACACUCUCCAAUCUACACAGCAAGUAUCCCAACUGAAUUGGUGGUGCCAGGGACACACAUUCAGCACUGACAUGCGUCUGCUCGAGCUAGGUGCCUACGAUGCGGUCCUCGGAGUCGAUUGGCUAGCCCAUUUCAGCCCUAUGAACUGUCAUUGGGGACUCAAGACCAUGGAAUUCCGUUAUGACAGUGUUAAUAUCAAGUUACAAGGUGUCCGCACUCCCACCGAGCCUACACUGACAGAGAUGCGAGCGGAUCAGCUAUCCAAGUGGAUUCAGGGCAACGAGGUGUGGGCAUUGGCUGUCGUCCAUGCAGAUACCAAUUCUGCAGCAGCCACUGAUCAAGUGCCACCGCAAUUGCAAGUCCUGUUGGAUGAAUAUGCAGACGUCUUCCAGGAACCCAAAACCUUGCCACCACAUCGCGACUUUGACCACGCGAUCCACCUGGAGCCAGGAACAUCACCACCAAAUGUCAGACCCUAUCGAUACUCUCCUCUCCAGAAGGACGAAAUUGAGCGUCAAGUCACGGAAAUGCUGCAAGCAGGCCUAAUCACAACGAGCAUCAGCCCGUUCGCCGCACCGGUCCUACUG